GUGAGCGCUGUGGGCUAUGGGAUGGAUGAGGUGGAGCAGGACCAGCAUGAGGCCCGACUCAAGGAGCUGUUUGACAGUUUUGACACGACGGGCACAGGGUCCCUGGGGCAGGAGGAGCUCACCGACCUUUGCCACAUGUUGAGCUUGGAGGAGGUGGCCCCAGUGCUGCAGCAGACGUUACUUCAGGACAACCUCUUGGGCAGGGUACAUUUUGACCAAUUUAAAGAAGCAUUAAUACUCAUUUUGUCCAGGACUCUAUCAAAUGAAGAACACUUUCAAGAACCAGACUGCUCACUAGAAGCUCAGCCCAAAUAUGUUAGAGGUGGGAAGCGUUAUGGUCGGAGGUCCUUGCCUGAGUUCCAAGAGUCCGUGGAGGAGUUUGCCGAAGUGACGGUGAUUGAGCCACUGGACGAAGAAGCGCAGCCUUCACACAUCCCAGCCAGUGACUGCAGUGAGCCCUGGAAGACACAACGGAGUGAGGAGUAUGAAGCGGAAGGCCAGUUAAGGUUUUGGAACCCAGAUGACUUGAAUGCUUCACAGAGCGGAUCUUCGCCUCCCCAAGACUGGAUAGAAGAGAAACUGCAAGAAGUGUGUGAAGAUCUGGGGAUCACCCGUGAUGGUCACCUGAACCGGAAGAAGCUGGUCUCUAUCUGUGAGCAGUACGGUUUACAGAAUGUGGACGGAGAGGUAAAUAAACCUCAUAGUAUAAUUUACUCAGGAAUAAUAAUGAAGGUAAAAGCGUAGCUGGCCACAGGCUAGGAACAGCUGUAGCGUGGCUCUCUGCAGUUUGUUAGACUCCAUUUUCUUAUUUUUCUAAGGAGUCAUUCAUGAAGAUUCUGUCAUUGAGGAGCUCUUGUUGUGCUGUUGAAAAGAAAAACUUGGCUGAGCACGGUGGCUCAAGCCUGUAUCUCAGCACUUUGGGAGGCCGAGGCGGGCGGAUCACGAGGUUAAGAGAUCGAGACCAUCCUGGCCAACAUGGUGAAACCCUGUCUCUACUAAAAAUACAAAAAUUAGCUGGGCAUGGUGGUGUGUGCCUGUAGUCCCAGCUACUCGGGAGGCUGAGGCAAGAAAAUCGCUUGAACCUGGGAGGCGGAGGUUGCAGUGAGCCAAGAUCAUGCCACUGCACUACAGCCUGGGCGACAGAGUGAGACUCUGUGUCAGAAAAAAGAAAAGAAAAGGAAAGAAAAAACUGACAAGAGCUGACACAAGCUUUUGUAAGCUCACUGUGCUACUCAUUAUCCCAUGUGAAACUGUCAGGCACUAGCUCUGUGUAGUAUGAUGUCAGAUGUACUUGUAGAGGUGCCAUUCACAGAAUAAAAUGUGGGAAACGUGUGGAGGAAGAAUUAAGCAUGGAUUUCAGUAGAUUUGAGUUGGGGGAGUGUUUUGAAGGCCGGAAUGAUAAAUUUAAGUUUUUGGAAAGAACAUUGAGUAUCAUCCCUGAGUUCUUAAGCAGAUUGAGCAAUAUAUAGAAAAAUCUUGCUUGCUGACGAGGAGCUAAACUGCUUUUACAUAUUGGCAUGAAGAGCGCCUUGGGUGAGAGCAGCCAGCAGCCAUUACAAUAUUCUGGUCGUGGGGAAAUGGAAAAGGGUAGAUUCGUUGUUUUGAAAAUACUAAGAAGAGCGUUGAACGGGCCCCUGAAAGACUCUUCUUUGGUGAAACUCUGAGCUUUAUGUUUUCUAAAAAAUAAAAGAGGACUGGUAGAACUGGGUGCAUGAAUAGCCAUGAAAGAGAAGAAUAGAAAUAAUUCUAAGGUAUUCCCUUCAGUGAGCUGCAAAUAAGGAUUGGAGAGAGUUAGAUUAGGGCUACAGUGGUAGCUUUGGGAAUCUUUGAUUAUAAUGAUAUUUUAAACCAUGCUUUCUGCUUGCUCAGGGGAUAAGUGGUAUUAUUUUUCUAAACAAAUAAUAGCUUUUGAUUUCUCAUCAAAGGCUUCCAAGUAGUCUAGCUUACAGAAUUUUUUUUUUGUUUUCCCCUUCUUCCUUGUGUAGAUCAUUAUAUUCUCUCUGUUUACCUUUUUAAUGGCUCAGGGGUAAUUUAUUUUUCAUUGGUGACUAUGAGUCAUAAAAUUAAAUUUAUUCUCCCGAAUAUAAAUCAGUGCAGUAUGCGGAAACUUGAGUUGUUUUUGCCAAAAAAUAUGGCACAAACUUGGAUUAUUUAUCUAAAACCAGUUCUUGGAAUAAACUGUACCCAUUUGCAGAGAGCUGCAUUUUCUUCUGUGGUGGAGUUUCCAAAGCUCAGGAAAAGAAGUAGCACAUUUAGUUACUUUCCUCUGGCCUGAGGACAAGUAGAGGAUUGCUUAUUGAAUAUAGCUUUUACUUAGUGUUUUUCCUGCUAAAGAAAAAUAGUAAAUACUAUAGUACUUAAUAUUACAAGCUCUAAACCACAGAGGAGCUGGAGUUCAAGAUGAUCUCAUUAACUUGGAAUCCUAAAAUUUUACAACUGAAAGCCAUUUUGGAUUUAGACACCUCUCAUUUGACAGAUAGAGAGAAUGAAAUCAUGGCUGUUCUCUGUGUUCACGAAGGGGAACUAGAGUCACUAUCUUAUGCCUGUAACUAGCACACCCCUUUCCAAAAUCAAGAACAGUGACAGGGCAGAGAUGCAAACUAGCAUGCUCAAUGCCAAAGCUGGCCCCAAGCCUAUUUUAUUUGUCAGGCCCAGUGUUGUUAAAAUUGAACGUUUUGCUACAUUAAGGAAAAAAUCAGGAGAUAUUUCUAAAAAUUGAAAGAUUUGGCUGCAUUUUGUGGGCAGUAAGAUGCAGCCUUUACAGAGGACAUGUGCUCCUUUAGAGAGAAAUGCACUCCUUUAGAGAGACAUGCGCUCCUUUAGAAAGGACAUGCGCUCCUUAAGAGAGACAUGCCCUCCUUUAGAAAGACAUGCGCUCCUUUAGAGAGGACAUGUGCUCCUUUAGAGAGGACAUGUGCUCCUUUAGAGAGAUUUGUGCUCCUUUAGAGAGACAUGCACUCCUUUAGAAAGGAUAUGCGCUCCUUUAGAGAGACAUACGCUCCUUUAGAGAGGGCAUGCACUCCUUUAGAGAGGCCAUGCACUCCUUUAGAGAGACAUGCACUCCUUUAGAAAGGCCAUGCACUCCUUUAGAGAGGACAUGCACUCCUUUAGAGAGACAUGUGCUCCUUUAGAAAGGACAUGCACUCCUUUAGAGAGACAUGCACUCCUUUAGAAAGGACAUGCGCUCCUUUAUGCGCUCCUUUAGAGGACAUGUGCUCCUUUAGAGAGACAUGCGCUCCUUUAGAGAGACAUGCACUCCUUUAGAAAGGACAUGCACUCCUUUAGAGAGACAUGCGCUCCUUUAGAAAGGACAUGCGCUCCUUUAGAGAGGACAUGCGCUCCUUUAGAGAGACAUGC
rnacentral:lncRNA from 1 species